CUCAUCCUCUCUCCCUCUCUUCAUCCUCUCUCCCUCUCUUCAUCCUCUCUGUCUCUUCAUCCUCUCUCCCUCUCCUCCUCUCCUGCCUUGCUGGUCACAGGUUAUAUCUACCUUUACCUCAGACCUCUCCAGCACUUAGAACUAGGAAAAUUAGGGACUUCAAUGCUGGUUCAGUGUAGCAACCUUGUGAAACAACCGCAAAGUCUUGGCAUGGCCCCUCCUUUGUCCUUGUGUGGAUGAAUUAAGGAGGUAGAUGUCAUUACUUAUAAAGCGAAUUGCUCUUCGAAAUCUAAAAAUGUAAUCAACCGUCUUUGCCAUUCCUGAAAACUCUGCUGCUCGUGGUCUGUCAAAAACCUUGCUCUCUGUGAGUUAGUUUUCUGCUUUAGGCUGUCUGUCUGUGAGUUAGUUUUCUGUCUCUCUCUCUCUCUCUCUCUCUGUCUCUCUCUCUCUCUCUCUCUCUCUCUCUCUCUCUCUCUCUCUCUCUCUCUCUCUCCCUCUCACUUUUUUUUUUCUAACUUUCUUGCAACAGAGGUGGGUUGUGUUCAUUUGGCCACAAAGUAGCCAAAUGUUUCUGUUACAAACGACCAGAUACUGGGGUAGCUGUAUGAGUCCACUGUCAAAUGUGACACAUCGUCUUUCUUUUCUUCUUCUUGUUUUUUCUCUCUCCAUCGUUACCCAGAUUCAGAAUUUGGAGGCAAAAGCUAUUUUUUUAUUAUCUUGAGCUCUUAAAAUACCAGAAUUGUAUAAAAAAAAUAUAUAGAUGAGUAUUUAUACCAAAAGUAUAUUGUGUAAAGUAAAGGGUCCCUGAGGAGGAGGUCUGAUGGAGGCCUGGCGCAUGCUCUGCAGAUUGUAGGUAGUAGACCUAGCUAGCCUGGUUUAGCUAGCCUAGCAUCCCGUUGGCUAGCCUGGUUUAGCUAGCCUAGCAUCCCGUUGGCUAGCCUGGUUUAGCUAGCCUAGCAUCCCGUUGGCUAGCCUGGUUUAGCUAGCCUAGCGUCCCGUUGGCUAGCCUGGUUUAGCUAGCCUAGCGUCCCGUUGGCUAACCAGGUUUAGCUAGCCUAGCAUCCCGUUGGCUAACCAGGUUUAGCUAGCCUAGCGUCCCGUUGGCUAACCAGGUUUAGCUAGCCUAGCGUCCCGUUGGCUAACCAGGUUUAGCUAGCCUAGCGUCCCGUUGGCUAACCAGGUUUAGUUAGCCUAGCGUCCCGUUGGCUAGAGGCUGUGUGUACAUUACAUUCAUAGGACCAGUGAAUAGAAUGCAUAUUUUGUUUUUAUAUCAGAGUGUUAAAUCCGUGUAAUAUGUAAUAAACAACUUUACCAAAUGAGCGUAA